rnacentral:rRNA from 1 species
CAGCAGCCACGGUAAUACAGAGGGUGCGAGCGUUAAUCGGAUUUACUGGGCGUAAAGCGUGCGUAGGCGGCUUUUUAAGUCGGAUGUGAAAUCCCUGAGCUUAACUUAGGAAUUGCAUUCGAUACUGGGAAGCUAGAGUAUGGGAGAGGAUGGUAGAAUUCCAGGUGUAGCGGUGAAAUGCGUAGAGAUCUGGAGGAAUACCGAUGGCGAAGGCAGCCAUCUGGCCUAAUACUGACGCUGAGGUACGAAAGCAUGGGGAGCAAACAGGAUUAGAUACCUGAGUAGUCCCUGUCUCCUAUAC